rnacentral:rRNA from 1 species
GAUGAACGCUGGCGGCGUGCCUAAUACAUGCAAGUCGAGCGAACAGACGAGGAGCUUGCUCCUCUGACGUUAGCGGCGGACGGGUGAGUAACACGUGGAUAACCUACCUAUAAGACUGGGAUAACUUCGGGAAACCGGAGCUAAUACCGGAUAAUAUAUUGAACCGCAUGGUUCAAUAGUGAAAGACGGUUUUGCUGUCACUUAUAGAUGGAUCCGCGCCGCAUUAGCUAGUUGGUAAGGUAACGGCUUACCAAGGCAACGAUGCGUAGCCGACCUGAGAGGGUGAUCGGCCACACUGGAACUGAGACACGGUCCAGACUCCUACGGGAGGCAGCAGUAGGGAAUCUGCCGCAAUGGGCGAAAGCCUGACGGAGCAACGCCGCGUGAGUGAUGAAGGUCUUCGGAUCGUAAAACUCUGUUAUUAGGGAAGACAAAUGUGUAAGUAACUAUGCACGUCUUGACGGUACCUAAUCAGAAAGCCACGGCUAACUACGUG